UUUGCCCAGGCAUUAUUUAAGGACAGCUCAAACCAAGCUUGGGCCUUUUCCCAGACCAUGAAGUAAUGCAGCUCAUUGUGCACUUGAGCUGGCAUGGAGUUCCUCUGCUGAGUAGCUCAAAUCCACCUGAGUCAUCCGAACGCGAGCGUCACUGGAAGAGAAGACUAAAAAACAUAUCACCUUUUUACACACAGGUCAAUCAGGGUCACACAUGACUGCCCACCCGUCACUGUUAUGUAUAACAGACUAAGCUAAGCUAAUCCUGCAGAGUCUGACCGGUGAACGGAGGCUUGCAGGCAGCUG